rnacentral:rRNA from 1 species
UAAAGAUUCAUCGCUGAUAGAUAGGCAUGCGUUCCAUUAGGCAGUUGGCGGGGUAACGGCCCACCAAACCGACGAUGGAUAGGGGUUCUGAGAGGAAGGUCCCCCACAUUGGUACUGAGACACGGACCAAACUCCUACGGGAGGCAGCAGUGAGGAAUAUUGGUCAAUGGGCGUAAGCCUGAACCAGCCAAGUCGCGUGAGGGAUGAAGGUUCUAUGGAUCGUAAACCUCUUUUAUAAGGGAAUAAAGUGUGGGACGUGUCCUAUUUUGUAUGUACCUUAUGAAUAAGGAUCGGCCAACUCCGUGCCAGCAGCCGCGGUAAUACGGAGGAUCCGAGCGUUAUCCGGAUUUAUUGGGUUUAAAGGGUGCGUAGGCGGCCUUUUAAGUCAGCGGUGAAAGUCUGUGGCUCAACCAUAGAAUUGCCGUUGAAACUGGGGGGCUUGAGUAUGUUUGAGGCAGGCGGAAUGCGUGGUGUAGCGGUGAAAUGCUUAGAUAUCACGCAGAACCCCGAUUGCGAAGGCAGCCUGCCAAGCCAUGACUGACGCUGAUGCACGAAAGCGUGGGGAUCAAACAGGAUUAGAUACCCUGGUAGUCCACGCAGUAA